rnacentral:rRNA from 1 species
CCUAGGGAGGCUGCAGUGGGGAAUCUUGGACAAUGGGCGAAAGCCUGAUCCAGCCAUGCCGCGUGUGUGAAGAAGGCCUUCGGGUUGUAAAGCACUUUCAGUGGGGAAGAAAGCCUUGGGGCUAAUACCCUCGAGGAAGGACAUCACCCACAGAAGAAGCACCGGCUAACUCCGUGCCAGCAGCCGCGGUAAUACGGAGGGUGCGAGCGUUAAUCGGAAUUACUGGGCGUAAAGCGCGCGUAGGCGGUCUGAUAAGCCGGUUGUGAAAGCCCCGGGCUCAACCUGGGAACGGCAUCCGGAACUGUCAGGCUAGAGUGCAGGAGAGGAAGGUAGAAUUCCCGGUGUAGCAGUGAAAUGCGUAGAGAUCGGGAGGAAUACCAGUGGCGAAGGCGGCCUUCUGGACUGACACUGACGCUGAGGUGCGAAAGCGUGGGUAGCAAACAGGAUUAGAUACCCCUGUAGUC